rnacentral:rRNA from 1 species
AUUGAACGCUGGCGGCAGGCUUAACACAUGCAAGUCGAGCGGAGAUGAGGUGCUUGCACCUUAUCUUAACGGCGGACGGGGUGAGUAAUGCUUAGGAAUCUGCCUAUUAGUGGGGGACAACAUUCCGAAAGGAAUGCUAAUACCGCAUACGCCCUACGGGGGAAAGCAGGGGAUCUUCGGAUCCUGCGCUAAUAGAUGAGCCUAAGUCGGAUUAGCUAGUUGGUGGGGUAAAGGCCUACCAAGGCGACGAUCUGUAGCGGGUCUGAGAGGAUGAUCCGCCACACUGGGACUGAGACACGGCCCAGACUCCUACGGGAGGCAGCAGUGGGGAAUAUUGGACAAUGGGCGGAAGCCUGAUCCAGCCAUGCUGCGUGUGUGAAGAAGGCCUUUUGGUUGUAAAGCACUUUAAGCGAGGAGGAGGCUACCUGGAUUAAUACUCUAGGAUAGUGGACGUUACUCGCAGAAUAAGCACUGGCUAACUCUGUGCCAGCCGCCGCCGUAACAC